AUGUGCUUCAAUGAAUUUGACUUUUAUUUCUCUUCUAGUAAAUCGCUUGUCAGGAGAAAUUCCGAAGUACCUGGGAAAAUUUACCAGUCUCACAUAUCUGAAUUUUGAAGCAAACCAAUUUUCGGGCCCUGUACCACCUAAACUUGGGGAUUUAGUGAACUUGG